rnacentral:rRNA from 1 species
GCGUGAGUGAUGAAGGCCUUCGGGUUGUAAAGCUCUUUUGGCGGGGACGAUGAUGACGGUACCCGCAGAAUAAGCCCCGGCAAACUUCGUGCCAGCAGCCGCGGUAAGACGAAGGGGGCAAGCGUUGUUCGGAAUUACUGGGCGUAAAGGGCGCGUAGGCGGUUCUUUAAGUCAGGCGUGAAAGCCCUGGGCUCAACCUGGGAGUGGCGCUUGAUACUGGGGGACUAGAGAGUGGGAGAGGUUGGUGGAAUUCCCAGUGUAGAGGUGAAAUUCGU